ACUGUGGGGCCGUCGUCGCCGCGUGCCGAGCGUCCUGGCGCGGCCGAGGGGAAGCAGCGGGGCUGCCCGGGUUACGCUGGCCACCCGCACCUGGUCCUGUGGCUUCGACCACUAGUCAGCAAGGCCCCGGAGAGGCCAGCGAAGAGGAGGGGCUCGUUGGCUUUACGGAGACGCGCGGAGCACCCUCAAGGUGCCACACGCUCGCCUGCUCCCUGUUCCUACAUCCUGGGCGUCUUCCCAGGCUGUCAUAUAACUCCUGAGAAUAGUGGUUCUUAACUCUAAAGAGUCUUGCUGUGUCACCCAGGCUGGAGUGCAGUGGUGAAAUCUUGGCUCACUGUGGCUUCAGCCUCCCAGGCUCAAGAGAUCCUACCAUCUCAGCCUCCUGAGUAGCUGGGACUACAGGAUAGAAGUGGAAUUACUGGGCAAAGGGCAUUCAGAUUUGGGAGAAGUAGCCCCAGAAAUAAAAGCAUCAGAGAGACGAACAGCUGUGGCCAUUGCAG
rnacentral:lncRNA from 10 species